rnacentral:rRNA from 1 species
GACGAAUGCUGGCGGCGUGCCUAAUGCAUGCAAGUCGAGCGACGCAUACUGAAGGGGUAACCCAUCGGUAUGACGGAGCGGCGAACGGGUGAGUAUCACGUGAGUAACCUGCCCCAAAGACCGGGAUAGCCCGAGGAAACUCGGAUUAAUACCGGAUACCCUCAUCGGAUCGAGUGUUCUGAUGAGGAAAUGCUUUUGCGCUUUGGGAUGGGCUUGCGCCCUAUCAGCUUGUUGGUGAGGUAAUGGCUCACCAAGGCUUCGACGGGUAGCUGGUCUGAGAGGACGAUCAGCCACACUGGAACUGAGACACGGUCCAGACUCCUACGGGAGGCAGCAGCAGGGAAUCUUGCGCAAUGGGCGAAAGCCUGACGCAGCAACGCCGCGUGCGGGAUGACGGCCUUCGGGUUGUAAACCGCUUUCAGGAGGGACGAAAUUGACGGUACCUCCAGAAGAAGCCCCGGCCAACUACGUG